UCAGGAAANUCUGGAGUAAAAGGCUAUGGCUCAACCAUAGUGUGNUCUGGAAACUGUCUGACUUGAGUGCAGAAGGGGAGAGUGGAAUUCCAUGUGUAGCGGUGAAAUGCGUAGAUAUAUGGAGGAACACCAGUGGCGAAAGCGGCUNUCUGGUCUGUCACUGGCGCUGAGGCUCGAAAGCGUGGGUAGCGAACAGGAUUAGAUACCCUGGUAGUNCACGCCGUAAACGAUGAGUGCUAGGUGUUAGGCCCUUUCCGGGGCUUAGUGCCGGAGCUAACGCAAUAAGCACUCCGCCUGGGGAGUACGACCGCAAGGUUGAAACUCAAAGGAAUUGACGGGGGCCCGCACAAGCGGUGGAGCAUGUGGUUUAAUUCGAAGCAACGCGAAGAACCUUACCAGGUCUUGACAUCCCGAUGCUAUUCUUAGAGAUAGGAAGUUACUUCGGUACAUCGGAGACAGGUGGUGCAUGGUUGUCGUCAGCUCGUGUCGUGAGAUGUUGGGUUAAGUCCCGCAACGAGCGCAACCCUUAUUGUUAGUUGCCAUCAUUAAGUUGGGCACUCUAGCGAGACUGCCAGUAAUAAACCGGAGGAAGGUGGGGAUGACGUCAAAUCAUCAUGCCCCUUAUGACCUGGGCUACACACGUGCUACAAUGGUCGGUACAACGAGUUGCGAGCCGGUGACGGCAAGCUAAUCUCUGAAAGCCGAUCUCAGUUCGGAUUGGAGGCUGCAACUCGCCUCCAUGAAGUCGGAAUCGCUAGUAAUCGCGGAUCAGCACGCCGCGGUGAAUACGUUCCCGGGCCUUGUACACACCGCCCGUCACACCACGAGAGUUUGUAACACCCGAAGUCGGUGAGGUANCCUUUUAGGG
rnacentral:rRNA from 1 species